CUACACAGUUGCCUGGCUAGAAAUCCUGGGAUGCUUUCAGUACUGACAUAUCUAUAACCACCCUUGCUUGGAGAAAUGAGUUAAGUGUUAUGCUUUCUAUGAAUGAAGAGGAAGAUCUAAGGCUACACUCCUCAGAGAAACAAGAAAUCAGGAACUGUAGGAAGAAAUAUACAUCUAGGUAACAAUAAAUGUUCAAAGCUAACCUGUGCAGUAAAAUAAUGUAUGGCAAAUA